GACGAACGCUGGCGGCGCGCCUAACACAUGCAAGUCGAACGGAGUCAAGAGGAGCUUGCUUUUCUUGACUUAGUGGCGAACGGGUGAGUAACGCGUGAGUAACCUGCCCUGGAGUUGGGGACAACAGUUGGAAACGACUGCUAAUACCGCAUAAGCCCACGGCCUGGCAUCGGGCUGAGGGAAAAGGAUUUAUUCGCUGCUGGAUGGACUCGCGUCCAAUUAGCUAGUUGGUGAGGUAACGGCCCACCAAGGCGACGAUUGGUAGCCGGACUCGGAGGUGGAACGGCCACAUUGGGACUGAGCCACGGCCCAGACUCCUACGGGAGGCAGCAGUGGGGGAUGUUGCACAAUGGGGGAAACCCUGAUGCAGCGACGCCGUGUGGAGGAAGAAGGUUGUCGGAUUGUAAACUCCUGUCGUUAGGGACGAUAAUGACGGUACCUAACAAGAAAGCACCGGCUAACUACGUGCCAGCAGCCGCAGUAA
rnacentral:rRNA from 1 species